AUGUAAGCCUACUAAAUCCUGAGGGCUCGACUGUGAAGAAUCUAAAAAAGCUUGAAUAGAAACCAUUUGUGAAGCUUAACCUUCGUGCAUAUCACUGUUUUCACACAAAAAUGUUGUGUAGCUGCAGGCUUUGAAGCUGUUGCAUCAGGUAAAAAUGUCCUCUUGCUGUGAAACAGUAUUAAAACCACAAUGUUACCAGAAAACGUUAUGAGGAAAUACCUCAGCUCCAGGUGCUGGCUGGGGGGUCAGGGGUGAGAGGUGAGUGGUCACACACCCAGCCUCAGGGCUCCCUGAACCCUGACCCCACACGACUGAUGAAUAGCGUGCUAACGAGACCCAGCUCUUUCUUACUGUGUCUGCACUCUCUCUUCUUGUCUUCUAAUUUUCCUUUUUCUUCUUCUUCCUCCCUGCAUUUUGCGGGGAUUAAUCUGCAGGCAGCAGAGCGGUGAUAUGUCUACCUGCUGAACCCUUAAAGCACCUCGCCAUCUGUCGUCUUCCUUGGAUUUAUAAGCAUCAUCAUCUCCCAUUCAAACGAGGCCCUGUUGCACCCUUACAUAACCUAACCCCUAUCCUACCAACGCGUGAUUUCUCCAGGAUAGAUUGUGCAAAUGAUCGUCGGGCGAGGUGUUAAAUCCUCGCCUGCCACGGAAUUGCUCUUUUUCCUAAUGAGACUCUCCAAUCCUCAUCGCUGUGUGCACGCGAGCCACAAAUCUAAUUAAUAACACGCGUGUUUGCAUUCAGACGCUGACACCUGCUACACGCGUGCACAAAUGGGUUCGGUGCAGAUGGGGACGCAAGAGCCGCAGACACACCCAGGGCCAUUUGCAGAGUCGUAUCAUAAAGCCAAUUAAAGAGAUGAGUCUUAUUAGCAGAGGUCUCCUGGCCCUAAUACAUCACAGGGGUUUCCUGGCAGGGGCUGGUGACACGGAGGGGCUCUUCGUCAUCUUUAUGAUCCCUGUCUCAUCACGCCCUUAUAAGACACUCAUCCAAACUUUACAGAGACUCAUCACAGAUAUCUGUCCGGUUGUGCGUAGGUCACCUUUGAAUGAGCUUCCAAAUGUCGUACUAGUGUGAAAGUGCUGUUUCCACAGGAGCAGCUUGCAUGUUUUCGGUCUCUCGUAAUUGAAAAAACUAUAAUCUUGUUCCCUUUCUCCUUCAGGGAAAAUCGUUAUUAAGCUCAGUGCACAGCUCAGGCCCCAAUGGGGAGAGCGGGAGCGGCUGCACAACAAUGAUGUGAGAGGGAGAAAUGCCCUCCUUAGACCUCCAGACCACCUGCAGCUCUGCUGAUGACAGAUUCCCUCCACACUGUGGACCAUCAGUGCCAAAGGGAGUCUAAUCCUCCUGCUUCUAUCCUUUAAGUACAAUAGCCCUGUCACUCGUUUGCUCAUUCAGCAUACCUUCAGCCUGUGUGUCAAUACGGAGAAAACCGACAGGAGGCAGACAGUAGGUUCCCACAGCGCUCUAUUCAUAGCUUUCUACUGGAAUCUCUGACCUGUUCAGGCCUGCCUCAUGAAACCUGCCCCUCAUAAUGAAAGCCAUUGAUGCUUCUUCUCAUUACACAUUCACCUUGACAUCUCUGUUACAACCCACGGAGCGUCUCGGCUUAAUCCAGCAGAGCUUUCUGCCUUUUAUAUGACUAAUACAUAAACGGAGAAUUGAUUUUUUUUUUUUUUUCAAAUUUAAGUUACUUGGUAGAGAAAACAGGCAUAAUUGAGAAAGUUCCUGGUAAAUCAUUUUCUCUGCUCUGCUGUUACAAGUUAAGAUUACAACCGAUGCCCCCAUUAAUGAUUCAUCUGUGGCAUUAACCUUUUGUUGCUCUAUUUACUUGUGGAGUUAAGAGGCCCUCAUCCUCCCUACACAAGAGAUAAUUAAAGAUUCAUGUGAUUAAACAAAAGGCCUGCACUUACUGUAAUGCAAAUAAACAAAAAAAAGGAGCGUGAAAUACCACGUAGAACUAAUAUGAGGAGGUUCCCGGGUGCGUAGAUGCCUGUGAGUGAGGUUUGAACAUAAACUGAGCUGAUAAAGUCUGUGUAAACUUUUGGAUUAUCACAACUCAGACUUACUAUCCUGGUGAUGUAAAUUAGUCAUUUAUAAACCUGAAUAUUUCCCAACUACUAGUUUUGAUAUCUGUUUUUUUAAUGAUUCCAAAUGUGAAAGGGGGCAUUCUGGGAAUUGUAGUUUUUGUUGUAUUUGCACAAUUCAAGCUGAAUUAAAAAAAGAAAAAUAGUAUUAUAUUUUAUAAACAGGUAUUAGCAACACACUAGUCUGUUUUUGUCCCUUUCUUCCUGCGGGAGCACCAUUAACAGCAGGUCACAAAGGGAGCUUUCAGCUCCAAACACAAUUAAGUGGAGCUGCAAACGCUUCUCCUGCACCUCGGCUGGCCUGCGUCAGGACCACAGCGAUGACUGAUGAGUCUCUUCAUGUCUUACAAGCCGGACAUGAAGGGAGCUCUGCCAGAAACCUAUUCCGCACUGAUCUGAGCUGCUCUUUAUUUAUCACAUUUAAAACACAAGUCUGCUGCUUUCAUCCUUUUUCUUCUUUUUUGUGCUCACUUUUAUCACAUUACUAUGGCGCUCUGUUUCCACACAACAAAGCGUCACUCUUCCUAAAAGGUCUUUUGAUGUGGAAGAUUAAUGUAAAAAGGUGUUACCCACUAAAUGUAUGCAAUAAAAGAAAAGCCUCUGAGAAACUGACAUCCUGCAGACCUUUGGCUGCACUGCCCCCUUGUGUCAGUAAGAUGAAUUACACGUGGAUAACAGCUUCAAUUGAUGUAGAUGAACAAAACUAAAAAUAUUUUGCAACAAAUUUACUGUUUGAACUUAUUAAUCAUAGGAUUAGUUUUUUGUGUUGAAAGUAAAAAUGUACCACAGGUGAAAUGUGUUGAUUUUUAUUCAAAAGUUACUGUCUCCAGACAAGUACAAAUCAGAAAAACAGUGACUGAAAGAGGAUGGGAUAACAGACACCAACUUAAGUGUAGGCAAGAGUGCAAGGAAGGAAAAAAUAAUUC